rnacentral:rRNA from 13 species
GCCUGGCGGGCAGUUUGACUGGGGCGGUCGCCUCCCAAAGAGUAACGGAGGCGCGCGAUGGUGGGCUCAGAGCGGUCGGAAAUCGCUCGUUGAGUGCAAUGGCAUAAGCCCGCCUGACUGUGAGACUGACAGGUCGAGCAGAGUCGAAAGACGGCCAUAGUGAUCCGGUGGUCCCGCAUGGAAGGGCCAUCGCUCAACGGAUAAAAGGUACUCUGGGGAUAACAGGCUGAUACC